AUCUUGAUUUAAAACACAAAAAUCUGAGGAAAAGAGGGAGAGAGAGUUUUAGAACGUGAAAGAGAGAGAGAGAAAGAACUCAAGGAAAUAAGGAAGAGGGAAACUUGAAGAGAACAUUGAAGAUAAGCUAAUUUACAACAAAUUAACCAAGUACGGUGAUCAAUCUGGAGACCAAUCUUAGGUCAACCUCAAGUGUCCUUCCGUGGACCUGUUAUACCAAGUCUCCAAGGUGGAAGUCUUGCCCUUUUGAGAUACUUUGAGUAAAGUCUGUUUUUUUGUCAAGCCACCCAAGAUGCGCCUUUGUGUCGAGGCUUUAACUUUGUAUUGUUAGACUUCUGUAUUUAUUAUUGAGUCUUGUGUAUAUGUGUGUGAGAUAUAUAAGAGUUGUAUAUGAAGAUAACUUACUAGUGUGUCGAAAUGUUUUAAUUGUUCCAGUUAUCAUAUAUCCACAUGCUCAAUAGAUAUUGUUAUUUUGUUUUGCU